rnacentral:lncRNA from 1 species
CACACAUGUCGAUAGCAAGAGAAGGGGCCUGGCGAGGGAGUCUGCAACAUUUAAGGAUUUCUGCAACAUUAUUAAUGGAGGGCUCGGUGGCCGAGUGGUUAGAGCAUCGGACUUGGAAUUGUCGACAAUCUGAGUUCGAGCGUUCGAAUCCCGACUGGUGAGUUGUUUCCUUGGGCAAGGAACUUUACCUCGAUUGCCUGAUGGUAUAUCAAUUGUAUAAUGUGCGUGAACGAUUCUCGAUGUGUAUGAGUGUGUAUAUAUAUGUGUAUGCAAGUAUAUGUGACAAUAUAACUAACUCUCUGUUCAUACAUACAUGUCUGUAAUAUGUCCCUAACACGCCUACUCGAAAUAAGCUGGAACAUAAGACGAUGAUAAGAGAAAAAGACGAAUAAUAUGACAUCCAAUGCGAAAGAAACAAUAGAAAAUACGAAUAAAUAAGACAAAGAAAAGAGAAAAAGUCGAAAAAUAGUACAAGCGAUGCGAAAUAAUCAGUAAAAUAUACGAAAAAAUAAGACAAAGAAAAGAGAAAAAGAUGGAAAAUAUGACAAACGAAGCGAAAGAAACAGUAGAAAAAUGAGAAGACGAAAGAAAAGAAAAAAUCGACUUUU